UCCCAGACUCCUACGGGAGGCAGCAGUGGGGAAUAUUGGGCAAUGGGCGCAAGCCUGACCCAGCAACGCCGCGUGAAGGAAGAAGGCCCUCGGGUUGUAAACUUCUUUUAUUCGGGACGAAACAAAUGACGGUACCGAAUGAAUAAGCCACGGCUAACUACGUGCCAGCAGCCGCGGUAAUACGUAGGUGGCAAGCGUUAUCCGGAUUUACUGGGUGUAAAGGGCGUGUAGGCGGGAGAGCAAGUCAGAUGUGAAAACUAUGGGCUCAACCCAUAGCCUGCAUUUGAAACCGUAUUUCUUGAGUGCUGGAGAGGCAAUCGGAAUUCCGUGUGUAGCGGUGAAAUGCGUAGAUAUACGGAGGAACACCAGUGGCGAAGGCGGAUUGCUGGACAGUAACUGACGCUGAGGCGCGAAAGCGUGGGGAGCAAACAGGAUUAGAUACCCCCGUAG
rnacentral:rRNA from 1 species